rnacentral:rRNA from 1 species
CGCGUAGGGAUCUGCCUUAUAGCGGGGAGUAACCUUAGGAAACUGAGGCUAAUACCGCAUGUGCUCUUCGGAGUAAAGGCUGCACUUGUGCAGUCACUAUAAGAUGAACCUGCGUUAGAUUAGUUAGUUGGUGGGGUAAAGGCCUACCAAGGCGACGAUCUAUAGCUGGUCUGAGAGGAUGAACAGCCACACUGGGACUGAGACACGGCCCAGACUCCUACGGGAGCAGCAGUGGGGAAUAUUGGACAAUGGGGGCAACCCUGAUCCAGCAAUGCCGCGUGUGUGAAGAAGGCCUGCGGG